AGCUCAAAUUUGAAAUCUGGCUUCGGCCCGAGUUGUAAUUUGCAGAGGAUGUUUCUGGCGCGGUGCCUUCCGAGUUCCCUGGAACGGGACGCCACAGAGGGUGAGAGCCCCGUAUGGUUGGAUACUAAGCCUGUGUGAAACUCCUUCAACGAGUCGAGUAGUUUGGGAAUGCUGCUCAAAAUGGGAGGUAAAUCUCUUCUAAAGCUAAAUAUUGGCCAGAGACCGAUAGCGCACAAGUAGAGUGAUCGAAAGAUGAAAAGCACCUUGAAAAGGGGGUUAAACAGUACGUGAAAUUGUUGAAAGGGAAGCGCUCAUGACCAGACUUGUGCUGGGCAGCUCAUCCGGGGUUCUCCCCGGUGCACUCUGCCCAGUUCAGGCCAGCAUCGAUUUUUGCUGGGGGAUAAGAACGGUAGGAACGUGGCCCUCCUUCGGGUGGGUGUUAUAGCCUACCGUACGAUACCCUGGUGGAGAUCGAGGUUCGCGCAUCUGCAAGGAUGCUGGCGUAAUGGUCAUCAGCGACCCGUCUUGAAACACGGACCAAGGAGUCGUCCAUUAGAGCGAGCGUUUGGGUGUAAAACCCGCACGCGUAAUGAAAGUGAAAUUAGGUGAGAGCUUCGGCGCAUCAUCGACCGAUCCUGAUGUUCUCGGAUGGAUUUGAGUAAGAGUUUUAACGGACGGACCCGAAAGACAGUGAACUAUGCUUGUAUAGGGUGAAGCCAGAGGAAACUCUGGUGGAGGCUCGCAGCGGUUCUGACGUGCAAAUCGAUCGUCAAAUAUGAGCAUGGGGGCGAAAGACUAAUCGAACUGUCUAGUAGCUGGUUACCGCCGAAG
rnacentral:rRNA from 1 species